rnacentral:rRNA from 1 species
AUACGGAGGAUGCAAGCGUUAUCCGGAUUUAUUGGGUUUAAAGGGUGCGUAGGCGGAUGAUUAAGCGUGAGGUGAAAUGCCACUGCUCAACAGUGGAACUGCCUCGCGAACUGGUUGUCUUGAAUGCUCCUGCCGUGGGAGGAAUGUGUGGUGUAGCGGUGAAAUGCAUAGAGAUCACACAGAACACCGAUUGCGAAGGCAUCUCACGAAGGGGUGAUUGACGCUGAGGCACGAAAGCGUGGGGAUCAAACAGGAUUAGAUACCCUGGUAGUCCACGCAGUAAACGAUGAUGACUAACCGUCGGCGAUACACAGUCGGUGGCCAAGCGAAAGCGAUAAGUCAUCCACCUGGGGAGUACGUUCGCAAGAAUGAAACUCAAAGGAAUUGACGGGG